UACGAAGGGGGCUAGCGUUGCUCGGAAUCACUGGGCGUAAAGCGCACGUAGGCGGAUUGUUAAGUCAGGGGUGAAAUCCUGGAGCUCAACUCCAGAACUGCCUUUGAUACUGGCGAUCUCGAGUCCGGGAGAGGUGAGUGGAACUGCGAGUGUAGAGGUGAAAUUCGUAGAUAUUCGGAGGAACACCAGUGGCGAAGGCGGCUCACUGGUCCGGUACUGACGCUGAGGUGCGAAAGCGUGGGGAGCAAACAGG
rnacentral:rRNA from 1 species